rnacentral:rRNA from 1 species
CCUACGGGGGGCAGCAGUGAGGAAUAUUGGUCAAUGGGCGCUAGCCUGAACCAGCCAAGCAGCGUGAAGGAUGACUGCCCUAUGAGUUGUAAACUUCUUUUAUACGGGAAUAAAGUGCAGUAUGUAUACUGCUUUGCAUGUACCUUAUGAAUAAGGAUCGGCUAACUCCGUGCCAGCAGCCGCGGUAAUACGGAGGAUCCGAGCGUUAUCCGGCUUUAUUGGGUUUAAAGGGAGCGUAGGCGGGUUGUUAAGUCAGUUGUGAAAUUUUGCGGCUCAACCGUAAAAUUGCAGUUGAUACUGGCAUCCUUGAGUACAGUAGAGGUAGGCGGAAUUCGUGGUGUAGCGGUGAAAUGCUUAGAUAUCACGAAGAACUCCGAUUGCGAAGGCAGCCUACUGGACUGUAACUGACGCUGAUGCUCGAAAGUGUGGGUAUCAAACAGGAUUAGAUACCCGGGUAGUC